CCUUGCAAUUUGCAAACCCUAGCCCCAAAAUCAAUUUGUCCUUAUAGUUGUUGGCGAAUACCCAAUUCCGAUUUUUGUUCAAUCUCCGAUACCCACUUGUAAUCUUGACUAAAGAUUCGAUCUUUGGGGAUCAAUUUUUUCUCUGAGAAAAGAAGACGAAUAAAGGAAUUAGGGUUUAGGAGUUAGAGGAGGAGGAAGAUGGUGAUCACGAUUGAAGAUUUGAGGAAAAAUGAGACCUGGCUUUGUGGGUCUUUCUUGAAAAUGGUUGAUGAUGUGAAAGCCAUGGCCACCGACCCAUCUGAGCAACAAGUGCUUCUGACCCAGAUGGUUUUGAAGGACUUGAUGAUGAAUAGGAACAAACCAGAAGCAGCAUUCCCACUUGGUUUUCCCAAAAAGAAGAGAUCUGGAUCUAGAGGGAUGCAAAAGCAGAAUCAGAAUCAGAAGCAGAGGAUCAUCAUCAAAUUCAAACGCUGCGUCUCUGCCACUACAGAAACAGGAUUUGAAAUUGAAAUUGAAAUUGAAGAGCAAGAAGAGGUGCUACUCUGAAAUCGAACAAGCAGGCGAUGAAGGUUUCGAAGACAUAAACUCGAAAAGGCUGAGAAAGGGAAAGAAUGAUAAGAGGGUGUUACCAAGUGUGCAAUCGAUCACUGAGUAUUUUCCAAAGGAAGAAUUGCAGGAUCGUAUUCGUGGAUCAGAUCACCCAAAGCCAAGAGCAAGAGCAAUAGCAAUAGCAGGGAAGAGGAAUGAGAUCAAGAUCAGUAUGACCAGCUUUGCUUUGUCCUUGUUAAUCUGCUUUCUGUGAGUGUUCUUUGAGUUUUUGAUUUACACUUGAAUCAACUUGUGUAGUCUUUGAUCAAUAUAUAUGUACAUAGUUAUCAAGUCUUAAAAUUUCUUGUUCAUUAACUCUCUACCCUACUCCAUUUUCUCAGUCUUGCAGUUUAUGUUCAACAGUAAUUCAAUGAACGACUUUCAUUUUUCCGAUCAUUCAGUAUGCUCUUUGAGUUUGGGGGAUGCAUCCAAUUUCUUCUUAUGUUUACCUGGUCAUGUUAACUGUAUAAAAGUUUGACAUUGGUUCCCUGGUGGUGAGUACUUAAAGAUCUACCAUAUGGCAGGAGAGCAAAAGGCCUAUAUAUAUACACACUUGGUCCCUUACCUUUUGGUUAUUGUUUUGGUUCUUGCUGCAGGUUUCUGAACUUAUGCUCGUGCUUUAGUGAGGCUUGGAUGAUCUGUUUGAAAAAGUGAAACUAUCCUCUUUGUAACUUUCAACUCGAGUAAUAUCUGAAUAAAGUACUUGUA